AACGAACGCUGGCUGCAUGCCUAACACAUGCAAGUCGAAUGAUAUCUUCGGAUCUAUUGGCGCACGUGUGCGUAACGCGUGGUAAUCUGCCCGUGGAUUCGGAAUAACCGUUAGAAAUUACUGCUAAUACCUGAUGAUAACUUCGGACCUAAGAUUUAUCGCCCAAGGAGGAGCGCGCGUAGGAUUAGGUAGUUGCUCGGGCAAUGGCCUACCAAGCCGACGAUCCUUAGCUGGUCUGAGAUGAUGAUCAGACACACUAGGACUGAGACACGGCCCAGACUCCUACGGGAGGCAGCAGUGGGGAAUAUUGGACAAUGGGCGAAAGCCUGAUCCAGCAAUGCCGCGUGAGUGAUGAAGGCCUUAGGGUUGUUAAGCUCUUUUACCAGGGAUGAUCAUGAUAGUACCUGGAGAAUCAGCUCCGGCUAACUCCGUGCCAGCCGCCGCGGUAAGAC
rnacentral:rRNA from 1 species